CAGUCGCACGAGAAAGCCCGGUUCGCCGGGCGAGUAAAGUGGCGCACGGGUGAGUAACGCGUGGAUAAUCUACCUCGUUCUGGGGGAUAACCCAUCGAAAGGUGGGCUAAUACCGCAUAAUCCGGCUGAAUUUCGGUUUGGCCGGCAAAGGUGGCCUCUUGAUCAAAGCUACCGGGAAGAGAUGAGUCCGCGUCCCAUUAGCUAGUUGGUAGGGUAACGGCCUACCAAGGCGACGAUGGGUAGCUGGUCUGAGAGGACGAUCAGCCACACUGGAACUGGUACACGGUCCAGACUCCUACGGGAGGCAGCAGUGAGGAAUAUUGCGCAAUGGGGGAAACCCUGACGCAGCGAUGCCGCGUGAGUGAAGAAGGCCUUCGGGUCGUAAAGCUCUGUCAAGUGGGAAGAACAGCCUAUGGACGAAUAAUCCAUGGGUCUGACGGUACCACUGAAGGAAGCACCGGCUAACUCCGUGCCAGCAGCCGCGGUAAGACGGAGGGUGCAAGCGUUAUUCGGAUUUAUUGGGCGUAAAGAGAGUGUAGGCGGCCGGUCAAGCCAGAUGUGAAAGCCCAGGGCUUAACCCUGGAAGUGCAUUUGGAACUGGUUGGCUUGAGUUCGGGAGAGGGAAGUGGAAUUCCGGGUGUAGAGGUGAAAUUCGUGGAUAUCCGGAGGAACACCGGUGGCGAAGGCGACUUCCUGGACCGAAACUGACGCUGAGACUCGAAAGCGUGGGGAGCAAACA
rnacentral:rRNA from 1 species